GUGGAGCAUGUGGCUUAAUUUGACUCAACGCGGGGAAUCUUACUAGGUCCGGACCGAUUCUAUGAUCGUCGUACUGUGGGGUGCUACGUGAUUACUGGAUGAGUGGUGCAUGGCCGUUCUUAGUUCGUGGUGUCAGUUGUCUACUUAAUUGUCAUUGGUUCUCGUAUCAUGCGAGAACUGAUAACGAACGAGAUCGAGGCCCGUGGUUACAGUUUGAAUUCGGUAUAACUACGGGGAUCGCGUAACACUCCACGGUACGAUCGAAAGACUCGGCAAUAACAGGUCUGUGAUGCCCUCAGAUGUUCUAGGCUGCACACGUGCUACAUUGUGGUUUCGUUUGUAUGCGUAGAUAUCUAAGAUCCCCCGCAUCGAGUCAUAAUCGGUCACUCGGUUGGACUCANCCGUUUGUAAUUAUUCGGUAUACUAA
rnacentral:rRNA from 1 species